GUAUGUUUUAAGUGUGUGUUGUGUUAAGUGUUAAGUAAGUGUCAUGUGUGUGUGUGUGUGUCCAUUUCCAUGUCGACAUUUGCAUUUCACAUGAUCAUAGUAAUUGUUAUGACAGUAGAAAAUGAUUCUCAACUGUGGAUGUAUUUGUUAGUCAUACCCAUCAUUCAUGACAUUUAACAAACUACCAUCCAAUGUAGUUCUACUUCUAACUGGACACAUGAUGAGCAUGUCAAUUUUGAUAACACUUUUGAUGCUAAACCCCGGCCAUAUAGGAAGCAAUAUUGGAGGAGGAGGAGAAAAACAAAGACGAACAAAGUUCAAAGAAGGAAAGGUACAUCACAAUCUCUCUACGACUCCUGGCUAACGUUCUGGUUACCAUUUUACUGGCCGGAUCUGGGUAUGCCAUCCAGCUAGUGGUGGAACGGUCCGAGCAGUUUGAAAAAAUGGACCCUUCCAAGCUGUCAUGGUGGGAACAAAAUGAGGUUUCCAUGGUAGUGUCAAUCAUCACCAUGGUGUUCCCUGUGUUCUUCGACCUGAUUGGCGAGAUGGAAAAGUACCAUCCACGUGUCAUGUUACGGUGGUCACUGGCAAGGGUAAUGGUCCUGAAUCUUGGCAAUCUCUACACACUGAUGAUUGCACUCUUCAAGAAGGUCAACAACCUGG